GACGAACGCUGGCGGCGUGCCUAAUACAUGCAAGUCGAACGCAGGGGGGACGGGUGAGUAACACGUGGGUAACCUCCCAUCAGAGGGGAUAACACUUGGAAACAGGUGCUAAACCGAUACUGAUGGAUGGACCCGUGGUGCAUUAGCUAGUUGGUGAGGUAACGGCUCACCAAGGCCACGCUGCAUAGAGGACCUGAGAGGGUAAUCUGCCACACUGGUACGGAGGCACGGCCCAGAGUCCGACGGGAGGCAGCAGUAGGGAAUCUUCGGCAAUGAGCGAAAGUCUGACCGAGCAACGCCGCGUGAGUGAAGAAGGUUUUCGGAUCGUAAAACUCGCUUGUUAGAGAAGCGGUAUCUAAACAGAAAGCCACGGCUAACUACGUGCCAGCAGCCGCGGUAAUAC
rnacentral:rRNA from 1 species